GAAGACCAUGGGCCUUUGUGAGAGAGACAGAGUAUGCAGAGAUGAGAACUAAAGACUCUGUGAUGUUUCAAGACGUCUACUCCAGCUUGGAUCCAUAGGGUCUCUGGCCUCAAGGAGUUUUCUGUGUAAACCGGGGCUUUGCUAACCAUGGUGGCUUCCGGGCUGGGGUGUCCUAAAAUGAAACGGCUCCUUCCCACCUGGAAGCAGGGCUAGGGAUCGAUCUCAAGGCUUUGGAGAUACUAGGGAUCUCAAUGAAUAGACAGGAAGGUUCUGCAUACCUUCCUUGAUGAAUUCUGCUUCCUCACUGUUGUGGUCUACUUAAGAAGGCUCUCACAGGUUCCUGGCCUCACUUACAUUAAC